rnacentral:tRNA from 1 species
GGAGUUGUGGCUCAGUGGCAGAGCGCUUGCCUAGCAUGCAAGAGACACUGAGUUCGAUCUUGGGCACCA